rnacentral:lncRNA from 1 species
AAAGGGAAAUAAUGUAAAGUUGGAGAAAUAGGUGAUUGGUUAGAGGGUAGCUGUAGAAAUUUUAAUAGUAUUGAUUUUGUCUGUAAAAUGUUUUUGAACAUUGUUGUAUAUAAGAGGGUGUUAUUGGAUUAUGUAUUUAUAAAGAGUUAUCUAGAUUUUGAUUUUCUAAUAAUUGUAGUGUUAUUCAGUCAUGACUUUUCAAAAGUAUAAGUCUGAUGUUAUUGGUUUAUGGAUUUGUAAUAACUAAUAAGUGGCUAAAAUU